rnacentral:rRNA from 1 species
GCAUAUCAAUAAGCGGAGGAAAAGAAACCAACAGGGAUUGCCCUAGUAACGGCGAGUGAAGCGGCAACAGCUCAAAUUUGAAAGCUAGCCUUCGGGUUCGCAUUGUAAUUUGUAGAGGAUGCUUUGGGUAAAACGCCAGUCUAAGUUCCUUGGAACAGGACGUCAUAGAGGGUGAGAAUCCCGUAUGUGACUGGAAAUGUUAACCUAUGUAAAGCUCCUUCGACGAGUCGAGUUGUUUGGGAAUGCAGCUCUAAAUGGGAGGUAAAUUUCUUCUAAAGCUAAAUAUUGGCGAGAGACCGAUAGCGCACAAGUAGAGUGAUCGAAAGAUGAAAAGCACUUUGGAAAGAGAGUUAAAAAGCACGUGAAAUUGUUGAAAGGGAAGCGCUUGCAAUCAGACUUGUUUAAACUGUUCGGCCGGUCUUCUGACCGGUUUACUCAGUUUGGACAGGCCAGCAUCAGUUUCGGCGGCCGGAUAAAGGCUCUGGGAAUGUGGCCUCCACUUCGGUGGAGGUGUUAUAGCCCAGUGUGUAAUACGGCCAGCCGGGACUGAGGUCCGCGCUUCGGCUAGGAUGCUGGCGUAAUGGUUGUAAGCGACCCGUCUUGAAACACGGACC